UCCUAGCCCCUUCUACCACAUGAGGACACAGUGAGAAGUUGGCAGUCUGCAACUGGGAAGAGGGCCUUCAGCAGAGCCCAACCAUGCUGGCACCCAAUCUUGGACUUCCAGCCUCCAGACCUGUCUGUCUGGCAGGAUUAGGGGCAGGGUUUUGAGCAGUGAGGCUGGAAUGGUGGACAAGGGCCAGAUGACCAGGGUCACUGAGAGCCCUGCUAAAAGUGGACUGUAUUUGGGAGGUUUUCCCUCUCCAACUGUGCUGUCAGACCACCUACAUCAGAAUCCCUUGUGGGUAUGUGGUGAAAAUGAAGAUUCCUGAGCUCCACCCAGACUUUCUAAACCAGAAUCCCGGGAGUGGCUCAGAAGUUUGCCUUUUUCUGCAAGCACCCCCAGGGGAUUCUUGUGCAAGCUCUUGAGAGCUACUAGAUAACGUGGAGCCCGGAGGAUGCAUCUUCUUCCCUGGAAACUUCCACCUCCAGUUUCAGGUAUAGUACAUAACGAUUUGACAUUUGCAUCCAUCAUGAAAUGAUCACCACGGUAAGUCUAGCAACCAUCUGUCCCCAUGCAAAGUUGUUACAAUGUUAUUGACCAUAUUCCUCAGGCUGUACAUGACAUCCCCGUGGCUUAUUUAUUUUAUAACUGGAGAUUUUUCCCUCUUUAUCCUCUUCACCUAUUUGGCCCAAGCCCCACCCCUCUCCCCUCUGGUAACCACGCAUUUGUUCUCUGUAUCUAUGAGUCUGUUUUCAUUUUGUUUUGCUUGUUUUGCUUUUUAGAUUCCACAUUUAAGUAGAUCACAAGGUCUUUGUCUUUCUCUGACUUAAUUCACUGAGCAUAAUACCCUCUAGAUCCAUCCAUGUUGCCCCAAAUGCCAAGAUUUCAUUUUUUAAAAUUAAGUAAUUAAUUAAUUUAUUUUUGGCUGCAUUGGGUGUUUGUUGCUGCACGUGGGCUUUCUCUAGUUGCGGUGAGUGGGGGCUACUCUUCAUCGCGGUGCGCGGGCUUCUCACUGCGGUGGCUUCUCUUGUUGCAAAGCAUGGGCUCUAGGCACACGGGCUUCAGUAGUUGUGGCACGCAGGCUCAGUAGUGGUGGUGCGCAGGCUCUAGAGCACAGGCUCAGUAGUUGGGGCACACGGGCUUAGUUGCUCCACAGCAUGUGGGAUCUUCCCAGACCAGGGCUCGAACCCGUGUCCCCUGCAUUGGCAGGCAGAUUCUUAACCACUGCGUCACCAGGGAAGUCCCUCAUUUUUUUUUUUUAAGUGACUUCCUGCAACGAUCUGUCAGGACCUCAAAGAGAGUGGUGAAAGUUCCCCCCUCCUGUUGCCUCUGCCUGAGUUCAGCAUGUUUCCCAGUCCAUACUGUACGCCGCUGUUUCCUCUUCCACUAAAUGUCCUUUUUGUUGUCUGACAGAUGAUGAUGAUUUAAGAAGCAGCAGCAUCAGAGAACACUGGCAUUUUGAAGAUUUGAGAAAAGGGCUGACCACAAGUUUUCAUAUCUAGGUCUCUGUAAACACACAAAAUCCUUUCCUCCCCUGUCUAAAAUUCUUUCCAUAAACUCAUUUGACUGAAAGAUGAAGUCAUGUGUAUGAAAAUAUCCAUGAGAUUCUGAACAUGUUUAUCAGUAAAAAUAAUUUCAUUUUCCACAGGGAACUCUACUCAAUAUUCUGUAAUGGCCUAUAUGGGAAAAGAAUCUAAAAAAGAAUGGAGAUAUGUACAUGUAAGACUGAAUCACUUUGCUAUACACCUGAAAUUAACACAACAUGGUGAAUCAACUAUACUCCAAUAUAAAAUAAAAAUUAAAUAAAAACAUUUGAAAAAAAUUCAUUU